GGGCUCACUUUGGCAGCACAUAUACUAAAAUUGAAAUGAUACAGAGACAAUUAGCAUGGCCUCUGAGCAAGAAUGACACACAAAUUUGUGAAGAACUACAGGAGUUA